AACGCUGGCGGCAGGCCUAACACAUGCAAGUCGAGCGGCAGCGGGUCCUUCGGGAUGCCGGCGAGCGGCGGACGGGUGAGGAAUACAUCGGAAUCUGCCCUGUCGUGGGGGAUAACCUAGGGAAACUUAGGCUAAUACCGCAUACGACCUACGGGUGAAAGCGGGGGAUCGCAAGACCUCGCGCGACAGGAUGAGCCGAUGUCCGAUUAGCUAGUUGGCGGGGUAAAGGCCCACCAAGGCGACGAUCGGUAGCUGGUCUGAGAGGAUGAUCAGCCACACUGGGACUGAGACACGGCCCAGACUCCUACGGGAGGCAGCAGUGGGGAAUAUUGGACAAUGGGCGCAAGCCUGAUCCAGCCAUGCCGCGUGGGUGAAGAAGGCCUUCGGGUUGUAAAGCCCUUUUGUCCGGGAAGAAAUCGUCUGGGCUAAUACCCCGGGCGGAUGACGGUACCGGAAGAAUAAGCACCGGCUAACUUCGUG
rnacentral:rRNA from 1 species